rnacentral:rRNA from 1 species
CACGUAGGCACCAAGCGUUGUCCGGAUUUAUUGGGCGUAAAGAGCUCGUAGGCGGUUCGGUAAGUCGGGUGUGAAAACUCUGGGCUCAACCCAGAGCCGCCACCCGAUACUGCUGUGACUUGAGUUCGGUAGGGGAGCGGGGAAUUCCUGGUGUAGCGGUGAAAUGCGUAGAUAUCUGGAGGAAUACCGGUGGCGAAGGCGGCAUCCUGGACCGGCAUUGACGCUGAGGAGCGAAAGCCAGGGGAGCAAACGGG